rnacentral:rRNA from 1 species
UACAGAGGUGCCAAGCGUUAGUCGGAAUUACUGGGCGUAAAGGGCGCGUAGGCGGCCUUCUAAGUCAGAUGUGAAAUCCCCCGGCUUAACCUGGGAACUGCGUCUGAUACUGGGAGGCUUGAGUAUGGGAGAGGGAUGUAGAAUUCCAGGUGUAGCGGUGAAAUGCGUAGAUAUCUGGAGGAAUACCGGUGGCGAGGGCGGCAUCCUGGACCAUAACUGACGCUGAGGCGCGAAAGCUAGGGGAGCAAACGGG